rnacentral:lncRNA from 1 species
GUGGUUGCUGGUGCUCAGCUUCGUGUUUGGAUGCAAUGUUCUUAGGAUCCUCCUCCCGUCCUUCUCAUCCUUCAUGUCCAGGGUGCUGCAGAAGGACGCGGAGCAGGAGUCACAGAUGAGAGCGGAGAUCCAGGACAUGAAGCAGGAGCUCUCCACAGUCAACAUGAUGGACGAGUUUGCCAGAUAUGCCAGGCUGGAAAGAAAGAUCAACAAGAUGACGGAUAAGCUCAAAACCCAUGGUACUGUGUCCCUUGCAGCCUGGAGGCUUCAUGAGAGCGGAUGAAUAGAGAAGUCUUGAAAGCUCGGACAGCUCAAUUAGCCAAGAUAAAAUGGGUGAUAAGUGUCGCUUUCUACGUAUUGCAGGCUGCCCUGAUGAUCUCACUCAUUUGGAAGUAUUAUUCUGUCCCUGUGGCUGUCGUGCCGAGUAAAUGGAUAACCCCUCUAGACCGCCUGGUAGCCUUUCCUACUAGAGUAGCAGGUGGUGUUGGAAUUACCUGUUGGAUUUUAGUCUGUAACAAAGUUGUCGCUAUUGUGCUUCAUCCGUUCAGCUGAACAGGAGGAUGGAUACAGCCGCGAGGCUAAAAAACGGAUUUCCUCUUCCUAGCUUAAAAUCUGAUUUACACUGUUUUGUUUUUUAAGAAACAAAAGUGCAUAGUUUAGAUUUUUUUUUUGUUGAAUAUGUUUGUUCUUGGACUUUAUGAGAGAGUCUUAUAAGAA